UACGUAGGGUGCAAGCGUUAUCCGGAUUUACUGGGCUUAAAGGGUGUGUAGGCGGGCUAUUAAGUCAGUUGUGAAAUCUCCGGGCUCAACCCGGAAACUGCCAUUGAUACUAUUAGUCUUGAAUUUUGUUGAGGUAGGCGGAAUAAGUCAUGUAGCGGUGAAAUGCAUAGAUAUGACUUAGAACACCAAUUGCGAAGGCAGCUUGCUAAACAAAUAUUGACGCUGAGGCACGAAAGCGUGGGGAUCAAACAGG
rnacentral:rRNA from 1 species